UGUGCCAGCCGCCGCGGUAAUACCGGCAGCACGAGUGAUGGCCGAUAUUAUUGGGCCUAAAGCGUCCGUAGCUGGCCGGACAAGUCCGUUGGGAAAUCCACCCGCUUAACGGGUGGGCGUCCAGCGGAAACUGUCUGGCUUGGGGCCGGAGGACUCGAGGGGUACGUCCGGGGUAGGAGUGAAAUCCCGUAAUCCUGGACGGACCACCGGUGGCGAAAGCGCCUCGAGAGGACGGACCCGACGGUGAGGAACGAAAGCCAGGGUCUCGAACCGGAUUAGAUACCCUGGUAGUCC
rnacentral:rRNA from 1 species